UGCGUAGGUGGUUAUAUAAGUCAGUUGUGAAAGCCCUCGGCUCAACCGAGGAAUUGCAUCUGAUACUGUAUAACUUGAGAUUAUGAGGGGUGAGUGGAAUUCCAGGUGUAGCGGUGAAAUGCGUAGAUAUCUGGGAGAACGCCAACGGCGAAGGCAACUCACUGGCGUAAUACUGACACUGAGGCACGAAAGCGUGGGGAGCAAACAGGAUUAGAUACCCUGGUAGUC
rnacentral:rRNA from 1 species